CCUGACCCUUACUAUCUCUUCUUAAAAUCGUACUUGGACAACCGCACAUUCAAGGUUCGCCACAACCUUCAACAUUCAAAACAAUUCCCCAUUGCUGCUGGGGUCCCGCAAGGCAGUGACAUAGCACCCUUUCUAUACAUAAUCUACAGCUGCUGAUCAUAUCACUGCAAGCCUUCAACUACAAUUACACAUUGAUACUCCUUCUCAAUGGUUCACUAAAUGGAAAAUUAAAAUCAACUAAUCAAAGUCUUCCUUCAUCACAUUUGCACUCAGGCCCCAUAACUGCCCUCCUAUAUCAAUAAAUAACACCAUCAUUCCUCACUCAAAUGAAGUGAAAUACC